CUACGGGGGGCUCCAGUUAAGAAUAAUCUACAAUGCGCGCAAGCGUGAUAGUUUGAACCAAAGUGUUUUUCAAAUGAAAGACUUUUGUGGAAUCUAAAAAGUUUCACGAAUAAGGACUGGGUAAGACGAGUGCCAGCCGCCGCGGUAAUACUCGCGGUCCAAGUCGCAGCCAUUUUUAUUGGGUCUAAAACAUCCGUAGCUUGCUUGAUAAGUUUCUUGUGAAAUUUCGUAUCUCAAAUUCGAAGCGUGCAAGAAGUACUAUUAAGCUAGAGACUGGAAGACGUAAGAAGUAUGUUCGGAGUAGCGGUAAAAUGUGUUAAUCCUGGACAGACUAACGAGAACGAAGGCAUCUUACGAGGACAGUUCUGACAGUAAGGGAUGAAGGCUAGGGGCGCAAAACGGAUUAGAUACCCCGGUAGUC
rnacentral:rRNA from 1 species